CUGACUUACACUCACUCUCUUUCUCAUCAGGUUUCUGCUGGUGAGGUGUCUUUCAGCUGUGAUGUCUGUGAGAAAUAUUUCAAUUACAGGUGAGAUUUUUCCCUUUAUGGAAUCCAGGCUCACUGUAGUACAGGCCCUCACAUUCCUAUUGACAAGGAUGUAUCUCUCUUUGCAGCCAGUUUGUUAUUUUCCAGCCCACACGGGUAUCACUGGGAUGUACUUUCAGGAUAUUACAGGACAACUCCUCAAAGCAGAUUGUCAGAGGUUCACCAUAUGGUAUAAUAGGUACUGGAUUUGGAAAUCACAAAGAUGGUCCCACGAGGUUUACACCAGCAAGAAUAUCUCAAGAACACUUGGAUUCUUGAGAACUGUUCUGUACACUAGUCAAUUAACAACCUGAGUUGUUUUGCACAUGGAAUUACAUUCUAGAUUGCUCAAUCACAAUCUCUGGACAGCAGAGGAUCAGUGAACAUUGUUGCCACAGCACAGCAAGAAGUUAGAUCAACGUGACCAGCAUGGCAAACAGCUGAAAUCCAUGAGAAACUGCGUGGCCAUGUGGCCUACCAUUGAUGCAAUCUGUGUGACAAGGCGUACAAAGUAAAAUUCCAGUUUAAGUUCUGACUGCUAUUACUUGUCUGAGCUGAAGAGGCAUAUGUGGACCCGUACAGGGGAGUUACCUUAUCAGUGCCGGAUAAUUGAAAAUUGCAAGUAAGCACUGUCUGAGAAAAUGGACAUCGGCCUUUGUGCAGUCAUCCACUACCUCGAUCUCAAGGGCUUAUCACCCAAGGAGGUCCACGGGGACAUGGUGGCAACACUAGGGGAGGGUGAAAAAUAAAUGUGCUCGGUUUUCUAAAAUUGUCUCCUUCUGCCUUAGGCCACAAACUCAUCAAUCACCUCUCCUACGUUUCAGCUUGAGUAAUGUGAUAAAAGAAAGAAUGCUUCUGUUAAAGUGUUUGUGAUAUUUUUUGACACACUUUAUCUUUGAUAGGACAGGAAGUUUUGCACUGAGAACAAAGAACAGAACACUAUCAGAACUCAGCCAAUCAAACAGCGUCUGUGGAGGCAAAAAGUAUAUGCUGAUGCAUCAGGUUGAAACCCUGCAUCGGGAUAGAGAGUGAAGAGAAAAAAAUGCCAGUAUUCACAGAGUAAGGCAGGGCUGGAACAGAGGUUGGUAGGUGGAACCAGAUGGACAGGGAAUGGUGGACCCACCUGGGGAUGGGGAAAGGAGAUGAAAAUACUUGUAUCAUUGGGAUGUUAGCCACCCAAACAGAAUAUGAGAUGUUGCUCCUCUUUAUGUUGGUUCUGUCAGUGUAGAGGAGGCACCUGCUGAGCACCUGCCUAGACUAGGUUGGAAGAGGCGAACCUCUGCCUCAAUUGAAACGGCUACAGAACAUAGAAUAGUACAGCACAGUACAGGCCCUUUGGCCCACAAUGUUGUGCCGACCCUCAAACCCUGCCUCCCAUAUAACCCCCCACCUUAAAUUCCUCCAUAUACCUGUCUAGUAGUCUCUUAAACUUCACUAGCGUAUCUACCUCCACCACUGACUCAGGCAGUGCAUUCCACACACCAACCACUCUCUGAGUGAAAAAUCUUCCUCUAAUAUCCCCCUUGAAUUUCCUUCCCCUUACCUUAAAGCCAUGUCCUCUUGUACUGAGCAGUGGUGCCCUGGGGAAGAGGUGCUGGCUGUCCACUCUAUCUAUUUCUCUUAAUAUCUUGUACACCUCUAUCAUGUCUCCUCUCAUCCUCCUUCUCUCCAAAGAGUAAAGCCCUAGCUCCCUUAAUCUCUGAUCAUAAUGCAUACUCUCUAAACCAGGCAGCAUCCUGUAAAUCUCCUCUGUACGCUUUCCAAUGCUUCCACAUCCUUCCUAUAGUGAGGCGACCAGAACUGGACACAGUACUCCUAGUGUGGCCUAACUAGAGUUUUAUAGAGCUUACAGAGAUUACAUCACGUCUCAUUACAUCUAUGUUCGUGGUGAUGGAAAAAAUAAAGAGACUGAUGCUGUAGUAAUGGUUGCAGAGGAAGGUCCAAUCAAGGGAGGGUUAGGUGGGGGUGAUAAGCAGACCAGGGAGUCCCAAAGAGAGCGGUCCUAGUGGAGAGUUGUCCUAAUGGGAGGGUAAGAUGUGAUUGCUGGCGGGAUCCCUCUGGAGCUGGUACCAUUUGCUUUUCCCAUUUCAGUCCUAAUGGAAGGUCUUGAUCUGAAAUGUCAACAUAAGCUUUUUACUUUCCAGAUGUUGCUUGACCUGCUGAGUUCUUACAACAUACAUUUUUGUUUGAGAUUCCAGCAUCCAAAGACUUGCUGGCUUCACCUCGCACAGAGAAACAUCUCUCUGAAAGAAAAAUGAGUUGUUGGUAGUGAAGGUGCAGAAGGUUAUCAAAGUUAGUAGGUAAGGAAUUCUCUGACCCUUUUGAAACCAGUUUCCCAGAAGGAGGUGAUCUUUUCUCAUCUCAAAUUAUUUGAAAACUGUUGUUUGUUGGAGUUUGCUUUUUUGCCACAAGGAGUUAAGUUGGCAUUUUUCUGACUAGUCCAGCCUUUUUAAAAAUUUACUUCUUCAUAUUCUUGAUGAUUGGCAAAUUAUGGAGCUUAAAACUGCAGAUUAGACAAGGUUAAGAUUUGAGGGUUGAUGGGCUUUUCUCUCAUGUCUUUUCAUAAAUUAAUACCAAAUCUUCAAUUGCUUUGUUAAAUGUGGCAUUGGUGUUCAGUCACCUGUACUUUGGCAGGAAAAGGUGACAAUCACAAAACUUUCAUUGUUAAGAUUAGAGGUUAGCACAAUGCUUUACAGUACCAAUGACAUGGGUUCAAUUUCCGCUGCUGUCUGUAAGGAGCUUGUACAUUCUCCCGGUGGCCUCAUGGAUUUCCUCCAGGUGCUCCAGUUUCCUCUCACAGUCCAACAACGUACCAGUUGGUAGGUUAAUUGGUCGUUGUAAAUCGAAGGGCCGACUCUACGCUGUAUCUUAAUAAAUAAAUAAUUAGGGUUUGUAAUUUCUUACAAAACAGUGCAGGUGAUUGUUUAGGACAUUUUUUAUUGUGGUUGCAAACUCUGUUUGACAUUAGUAACAUACAAUACUGCAAAUCUGGUUCACUGUUUCACUGGAGAGAGACUGAUGGUGGGGCGUUGUGUUGCCUCGGUUGUGGUGAGGGCUAGUCCUAGGCCAAGGUCGCAGGGUUGCCUUUGGCAGUGACACAGGAGAGGAGAGGCUGAGGCGGUGCUGCCCUCCAGUGUUUGCUCAGUGGAAGAACAAGCUGGACCAGGAUAAGUUACAACAAUCUAGUCAUGCCACAUUGGGACUUGGGCUGUUACUUUUUUUCUUUUUGUGACUUUUUUUCUGAAAUUGUAACUGUAUCUGCUAUGUGCUUUUGGUAAUAUAUUUUGUACCUUGGCCCUGGAGGAACAUUGUUUCAUUUGGCUAAAUUCAUGAGUGGUUGAAUGAAAAUUAAAUUUGAACUUUGUUGCUUCUACCAAAGUACAUAAUUAUACACUUCCCUACACCACAUUCCAUUUGCUAUUUCUUUGCCCAUUAUCCUAAUCUGUACAAGUCCUUUUGCAUGCUGCUUCAACACUAUGUGCCCCUUCACCUAUCUUCAUAUCGUCCGCAAACCAUCAAUUUCAUCAUCCAAGUUAUUAACAGAUAACAUGAAAAAAGCGGUCCCAACACUGACCCCUGCAGAAUACUAGUCACCAGCAGAAAAUUCAGAAAAGGCUGCCUUUAUUCCCCUCCAGUUCAACACAUGGAUGAACAACACUCUGUCUACAUCCCCUCCUUGCCCUGUACCUACCAUCCACACCUCCAUAUACCAACUGCUAUUGUCCCAGCCCCCACCUUCCACCAACUCCCCAGUCAUCAUGGACUCACCUUCAUUACAGAGCAGGUGAGAAGGGCUCUGGGGAAACUCAGACGCAGCAAAGCGUUGGGACCGGAUGUUGUGAACCCCAGGGUCCUGAAGGAAUGUGUUGAGCAGCUGUGUAGAGUUCUUCAGCACGUUUUCAAUCUGAGUCUCAGUAUGGAAAAGGUCCCGACUGUGUGGAAAACGGAUGUGGUCCCAGUACCCAAGAAGGGCUAACUGAAAGUCUUGAAUAACUACCGUCCAGUGGCGCUGACUUCACACAUCAGUACAGGAGGAGGCUGGUCUUGGUUCAUCUCUGGCCCCUGGUCAGAUCAGUCCUCGAUCCCCUGCAGUUUGCCUACCAGACUCUAGAAUGAAUCAAUCUAUAGCCGGGGAAGUAAU